rnacentral:rRNA from 1 species
GAUGAACGCUGGCGGCGUGCCUAAUACAUGCAAGUCGAGCGAAUGGAUUAAGAGCUUGCUCUUAUGAAGUUAGCGGCGGACGGGUGAGUAACACGUGGGUAACCUGCCCAUAAGACUGGGAUAACUCCGGGAAACCGGGGCUAAUACCGGAUAACAUUUUGAACCGCAUGGUUCGAAAUUGAAGGGCGGCUUCGGCUGUCACUUAUGGAUGGACCCGCGUCGCAUUAGCUAGUUGGUGAGGUAACGGCUCACCAAGGCAACGAUGCGUAGCCGACCUGAGAGGGUGAUCGGCCAAACUGGGACUGAGACACGGCCCAGAAUCAUACGGGAGGCAGCAGUAGGGAAUCUUCCGCAAUGGAGGAAAGUCUGACGGAGCAACGCCGCGUGAGUGAUGAAGGCUUUCGGGUCGUAAAACUCUGUCGUUAGGGAAGAACAAGUGCUAGUUGAAUAAGCUGGCACCUUGACGGUACCUAACCAGAAAGCCACGGCUAACUACGUGCCAGCCGCCGCCGUAA